rnacentral:rRNA from 1 species
ACGAACGCUGGCGGCAGGCCUAACACAUGCAAGUCGAGCGCUCUCUUCGGAGGGAGCGGCGGACGGGUUAGUAACGCGUGGGAACGUACCCUUCUCUACGGAAUAGCCUCGGGAAACUGAGAGUAAUACCGUAUACGCCCUUUGGGGGAAAGAUUUAUCGGAGAAGGAUCGGCCCGCGUUGGAUUAGGUAGUUGGUGGGGUAACGGCCUACCAAGCCUACGAUCCAUAGCUGGUUUGAGAGGAUGAUCAGCAACACUGGGACUGAGACACGGCCCAGACUCCUACGGGAGGCAGCAGUGGGGAAUCUUAGACAAUGGGCGCAAGCCUGAUCUAGCCAUGCCGCGUGAGUGACGAAGGCCUUAGGGUCGUAAAGCUCUUUCGCCAGGGAUGAUAAUGACAGUACCUGGUAAAGAAACCCCGGCUAACUCCGUGCCAGCAGCCGCGGUAAUACGGAGGGGGUUAGCGUUGUUCGGAAUUACUGGGCGUAAAGCGCGCGUAGGCGGAUUAUUAAGUUAGGGGUGAAAUCCCGGGGCUCAACCCCGGAACUGCCUCUAAUACUGGUAGUCUUGAGUUCGAGAGAGGUGAGUGGAAUUCCGAGUGUAGAGGUGAAAUUCGUAGAUAUUCGGAGGAACACCAGUGGCGAAGGCGGCUCACUGGCUCGAUACUGACGCUGA